rnacentral:rRNA from 1 species
UACGUAGGGUGCGAGCGUUAAUCGGAAUUACUGGGCGUAAAGCGUGCGCAGGCGGUUCGUUGUGUCGGUGGUGAAAUCCCCGGGCUUAACCUGGGAAUGGCAUUUGGGACUGCAAGGCUUGAGUUUGGCAGAGGAGACUGGAAUUCCUGGUGUAGCAGUGAAAUGCGUAGAUAUCAGGAGGAAUACCGAUGGCGAAGGCAGGUCUCUGGGCUAGAACUGACGCUCAUGCACGAAAGCGUGGGGAGCAAACAGG